rnacentral:ncRNA from 2 species
GGUCAUGAGUGCCAGUGACAAGCCCCGGCUCGCUGGUCGGCAACCCUCCACCACGGUGGGGUGCUCCGGGUGACGACCCGGCCGUGUUCGACCGGACACGGCAAGCGUGGAUC